UAGUAGAGAAGUGGUGAUCCAGGCAGGAAGUGACAUAGCAAGGAGACUCAUAUUUAAUUGAAUGAGAAACAGGAAGGGUCCUUUUUCCCCUUGCUCCUCCAGCAGCAUAAUGUGAUCCACCAGCAAGAAGGGAUGCCAAUAAGGCGUCCGAUAAGAUAAGUCUUAUAAAAUAUAUAGAUUUAUGAUAAUUAAAACUGAGCUAGCAGAUGAGAAUCCUAGUCAUUGGCCAAGCAGCUUUGAACUUAAAACAAGUUUCUGUGAGUUCAUUUGGGCCUAACCCGGGGGUGGGGGUGGGUGGGUGGGGCUGGCAUAAAGCACACAUGUGGCAGUGGGACUCGGUGACUUUUUAGCGGAAAGAUUUAUCAUAACAACAGAAGGUUGGACAGUAGCCUGACCAUGGAGUUCUGUGUUCCAGGGUAUAAUGUGAUUCAGAAAAGAAUGAAGACAAUGGAGACCUGAGGAAAUACAUUGUAUAUUUCAGUGACAUAGACAGUUUCAUAGAGCUAGUCUCCCAUUCUGAUCUGAGCAAGAGUAGGUCAUACUGAGAGCAUGGCACAGGACCAAGAUCUGCUCAGAUACAUAGCAUUUUAGAAAGUACAACCCCUGAGCAAGCCAACCUGUUCUCUCUGGGUCUUUGCCCUCUGAAGUUUUCACUCACGUGGUCCAUUGCUGCCCAUCACAACAUGUGCCUUACUAUAUUGUACUACACUUUUGCUGAUCAAGAUUUCAUAUUAAGGACUAAGGCAGUCUGGCCUGGCACAGAAGCAUCAAGCUGUAAGAUCAAGGUGCAUGGUCCAGUCAGUUCUAACUCUAAGGAGAAAUGAGCACUGAAUGCAGAAGCCAUGAUGUUGAAGUUUCUUGGGUGCAGCUUCUCUGCCAUAGGAUAAGGCUCUGGUAUAUCAACAGCACAAGCCUUGAACCCAAGGAUCAUAGAUCAUUAGGGAAAAGUAGACAGAUUGAUUGUAAGGGCCAGAAGACAAGAAAAAUUCUAUAAGAAAAGCAGAUGCUAUUAAAGAGAUACCAUUAAGGUAUGCUAAUUUUUAAUAUUCUAAUGUUGUAAUGUUGUAAUCCUAAUGUUGUA
rnacentral:lncRNA from 1 species